UUCAGAGAUGAGAAUGUGCCUUCGGGAACCGUGAGACAGGUGCUGCAUGGCUGUCGUCAGCUCGUGUUGUGAAAUGUUGGGUUAAGUCCCGCAACGAGCGCAACCCUUAUCCUUUGUUGCCAGCGAUUAGGUCGGGAACUCAAAGGAGACUGCCAGUGAUAAACUGGAGGAAGGUGGGGAUGACGUCAAGUCAUCAUGGCCCUUACGACCAGGGCUACACACGUGCUACAAUGGCGCAUACAAAGAGAAGCGACCUCGCGAGAGCAAGCGGACCUCAUAAAGUGCGUCGUAGUCCGGAUUGGAGUCUGCAACUCGACUCCAUGAAGUCGGAAUCGCUAGUAAUCGUGGAUCAGAAUGCCACGGUGAAUACGUUCCCGGGCCUUGUACACACCGCCCGUCACACCAUGGGAGUGGGUUGCAAAAGAAGUAGGUAGCUUAACCUUCGGGAGGGCGCUUACCACUUUGUGAUUCAUGACUGGGGUGAAGUCGUAACAAGGUAACCGUAGGGGAACCUGC
rnacentral:rRNA from 1 species